UACGUAGGAUCCGAGCGUUGUCCGGAUUUACUGGGUGUAAAGGGUGCGCAGGCGGACUGGUAAGUCAGAGGUGAAAUCUCGUCGCUUAACGACGAAACUGCCUUUGAUACGUAUCAGUCUUGAAUCCGGUAGAGAUCUGUGGAAUUCCGAGUGUAGCAGUGAAAUGAUGUAGAUAUUCGGAAGAACACCAGUGGCGAAGGCGGCCUGCUGGGCAGUUUUGCUGACACUGAGGCGCGACAGCGUGGGGAGCAAACAGG
rnacentral:rRNA from 1 species